GACGAACGCUGGCGGCGUGCCUAAUACAUGCAAGUCGAACGCAGUGGGGACGGGGUAGUAACACGUUGGUAACCUCCCAACAGAGGGGAUAACACUUGGAAAAAGGUGCUAAACCGAUACUGAUGGAUGGACCCGCGGGUCAUUAGCUAGUUGGUGUGGUAACGGCUCACCAAGGCCACGAUGCAUAGCCGACCUGAGAGGGUGAUCGGCCACACUGGGACUGAGACACGGCCCAGACUCCUACGGGAGGCAGCAGUAGGGAAUCUUCGGCAAUGGACGAAAGUCUGACCGAGCAACGCCGCGUGAGUGAAGAAGGUUUUCGGAUCGUAAAACUCUGUUGUUAGAGAAGCGGUAUCUAACCAGAAAGCCACGGCUAACUACGUGCCAGCCGCCGCGGUAAUAC
rnacentral:rRNA from 1 species